CCUACGGGGUGCAGCAGUGGGGAAUAUUGCACAAUGGGGGGAACCCUGAUGCAGCAAUGCCGCGUGGGUGAAGAAGCACUUCGGUGCGUAAAGCCCUGUCAGCAGGGAAGAAAAUGACAGUACUUGGACAAGAAGCCACGGCGAAUACCGUGCCAGCAGCCGCGGUAAUACGUAGGGGGAAAGCGUUAUCCGGAUUUACUGGGUGUAAAGGGAGCGCAGGUGGCUUGGCAAGUCAGAUGUGAAAACCCGGGGCCCAACCCCGGGAGUGCAUUUGAAACUGGCCUGAUGGAGUGCAGGAGAGGUAAGUGGAAUUCCUGGUGUAGCGGUGAAAUGCGUAGAGAUUAGGAGGAACACCAGUGGCGGAGGCGGCUUACUGGACGGUAACUGACGCUGAGGCGCGAAAGCGUGGGGAGCAAACAGGAUUAGAUACCCUUGUAGUC
rnacentral:rRNA from 1 species